CUUUUUUAUUAUUAGUGCAAGAAAAUGCUUUCGGUUUCAUUAAAACGCGUUCUAUAUUGAGAAACAGCAGUGAAAGGAAAACUACAUGGCUAUCAUCAAACUGGAGAGAUGGUUUAACAGCAAUUUACCUCAUCCAUUGCUGAAUGAGAUGAGUCAGUCUGUUGGGAACUACCCCUCUGACUACUCAACAAGGCUCUUGAUUAAAUCACAUCGAGGAGAGAAAUGAACCAGUGCCGCCCUUUCAUCACUGCUAGACACAUGGAAUGUGAUGAAACAUGGCCGUGAGAAAGUAGUUUCCUCUCUGUAGUUCUGCAUGUUUUACAGCAAUGCUUGCAUUUUUGUCGUACUUAAUGUCAAAAUGAAAAAGCAAACAGCGUAAUGCAAAAUACACACCAGCCGAUUUAUAUUUGUCAACCCUUUUAUGCAAAGUAUGAAAAUGUAAUGCUUUAAUGUGGAAAAAUGGGAAUGUUUUGAUUCUGUCAAUAAUCCACAUCCAUGUUUACAAAUUGCACAUAAUGUUUCCAUUUUAGUUCUACAGUUGGUAUGUAUGGUAAUUUGUUAAAAUACUCAACUAUUCUGGGUAGAGAGUUCAAGGUUACAGAGUUCCCAGACUAUGUGUGCGGAAAAGUUUAUGAUCUGUGAGCUUUGUGCCCCCAUAGAAGUAUAUGUAAUCAAUUAUAUGUGUCCUGUCAAACAAACAAAAAUCAAGUACAUUAGGGACAGUCUUAAAUUGCAACUUACUUUAUGGGGAGAUUAAUAAAUGAAGACAGCAGCCUCUAGUGUCACAAUCAUGAUGGUGCAUCAGGAUAAAUGGUCAACACUGUGCGAAAGCAGAAGAGGAAGCUAGUAUGACAGUGAUAGAGAACAACAUCUAAAAUAGUAAUAUCUGAAUUUUGUAAAGGAUAUGACAGCCUUAUGAUAAAAGGGUGUAUUUUUGAAACAACCUCUUUUACAUCCAAAGUGUGUAGCUUUAAUACAGAAGAGUCAUGCAGUAAUUAUUAAAACUGUAUAUGUUUAUAAUUUAAGGCAUAGAGCUUUCAUUCUUUUCUUAUGUCAGACCAAAACAUACUUUUUAUUAUCUUGCCAGCAUGAUUGUCAUGGGUAAAGAAUAAAAGGAAUAGGGUCAAAUUACAGGCCUCAACACAUGACUUUCCCAGGAGACUCUCAGUCUACCCCUCAACUCUUGUCUGUUCACCACAAACUCGGAGCGUUGGCCUUGCUGGCCAUAUGGAGCAGCCUAAGGGAAUAGCCUCCAGACUUAAUUGAGGCAGUGCCUCAGCUGUCUUCCCUUGAACCUUUCAGUACUUCAUUAGGCCUGACUUGGUAGAUGGACAGCAAUUGUGUUCAUUAUCUCAGAACCUGCAUUCAUGCAUAUACUUAUCGUGAUUUUAAAAUUUCCCUUUAACCGUUUUCUUGUUUCUGUGUUUUAUGCUUGUUUAUGUUUACAACGGACAGCAUGAUUUGAUCAUUUUUGUAAUGAUGUA